AAAAUCAUAGGUACACGCAUGUUUAUGAAAGUAAAAAAAAAACUAAAAUAUAAUAAUAUAUAUGUAGAGGUAAAAAAACUGCACGAAAUGUAUAUAUACAAGUACGUAUAUUACAUUGAAAUGCAUGUAUAUAUAAUCGUGCGUGCUUUUGAAAUAUAGAAAUAAGGAUAAAAAUAAUAAAGGGAGAAAAAAAAAUGGGCCAAACUGAAUUAAAACGAAAAAAACGAAUUUAGAAAAAAAAUAAAAAAAUAAAAUUAGG
rnacentral:lncRNA from 1 species